rnacentral:ncRNA from 2 species
AACCGCCGUAUACAGGUCCGUACGUACGGUGGUGUGAGAGGACGGCGGCUAUGAAGCCGCCUCCUACUCGAU